GGUUGACCUCGAAUCAGGUAGGGAUACCCGCUGAACUUAAGCAUAUCAAUA
rnacentral:rRNA from 2 species